CCUACGGGGGGCAGCAGUGGGGAAUAUUGCACAAUGGGCGCAAGCCUGAUGCAGCGACGCCGCGUGAGGGAUGAAGGCCUUCGGGUUGUAAACCUCUUUCGUCAGGGAAGAAGCGAAAGUGACGGUACCUGAAGAAGAAGCACCGGCUAACUACGUGCCAGCAGCCGCGGUAAUACGUAGGGUGCGAGCGUUGUCCGGAAUUAUUGGGCGUAAAGAGCUUGUAGGCGGUUUGUCGCGUCUGCCGUGAAAACCUAGGGCUUAACUCUGGGCGUGCG
rnacentral:rRNA from 1 species